rnacentral:rRNA from 1 species
GACGAACGCUGGCGGCGUGCCUAAUACAUGCAAGUCGAACGCAGUGGGGACGGGUGAGUAACAAGUGGGUAACCUCCCAUCAGAGGGGAUAACACUUGGAAACAGGUGCUAAACCGAUACUGAUGGAUGGAACCGCGGUGCAUUAGAUAUUUGGUGGUGUAACGGCCCACCAAGGCCACGAUGCAGAGCAGCCCUGAGAGGGGGAUCGGCCACACUGGGACUGAGACACGGCCCAGACUCCUACGGGAGGCAGCAGUAGGGAAUCUUCGGCAAUGGACGAAAGUCUGACCGAGCAACGCCGCGUGAUUGAAGAAGGUUUUCGGAUCGGAAAACUCUGUUGUUAGAGAAGCGGUAGCUAACCAGAAAGCCACGGCUAACUACGUGCCAGCCGCCGCGGUAAUAC